GGGCCUAUAGUUUAACGGUAGAACGCCGCCUUUGCAAGGCGGAGGUGGCAGUUCGAUUCUGCCUAGGUCCACAA
rnacentral:tRNA from 1 species